CAACGUAGCGAUAGCACGUUGAAUACACCAGUUUCUAAUUGAUCACUGAAGUUAAGAAUCAUUCCGCACGGUUGAUAUCCAGAGGGAUGACCAAUUGGACAUAUCAUGUAGUUUUCUUUU
rnacentral:rRNA from 1 species